rnacentral:lncRNA from 1 species
CUGCCACAGAUUGAUUGGCAUCUGCACCUAAUUGGGCAUGCUGUUUGACACAUCAUGCAGCCAAUUACAAGGAUUCCCAAAUGUUAUCUUAUCUCACAAGUGGUUUGUCUCUUCCACUUCUAUCUCAUCGCUCCCACUUAGAGUGAGACAGCUACUACUAAUUAAGUCAAGCCACGUUUAAGACACCUUUCCAUCUCACUAAAAUACAAUGGCCACUAACUCACAU